CUACGGGUUGCUCCAGUGGAGAAUAUUGCACAAUGGGCGCAAGCCUGAUGCAGCCAUGCCGCGUGUAUGAAGAAGGCCUUCGGGUUGUAAAGUACUUUCAGCGGGGAGGAAGGGAGUAAAGUUAAUACCUUUGCUCAUUGACGUUACCCGCAGAAGAAGCACCGGCUAACUCCGUGCCAGCAGCCGCGGUAAUACGGAGGGUGCAAGCGUUAAUCGGAAUUACUGGGCGUAAAGCGCACGCAGGCGGUUUGUUAAGUCAGAUGUGAAAUCCCCGGCCUCAACCUGGGAACUGCAUCUGAUACUGGCAAGCUUGAGUCUCGUAGAGGGGGGUAGAAUUCCAGGUGUAGCGGUGAAAUGCGUAGAGAUCUGGAGGAAUACCGGUGGCGAAGGCGGCCCCCUGGACGAAGACUGACGCUCAGGUGCGAAAGCGUGGGGAGCAAACAGGAUUAGAUACCCUAGUAGUC
rnacentral:rRNA from 1 species